rnacentral:rRNA from 1 species
AAUAGCGGAGGAAAAGAAACCAACCGGGAUUGCCUUAGUAACGGCGAGUGAAGCGGCAAAAGCUCAAAUUUGAAAUCUGGUACCUUCGGUGCCCGAGUUGUAAUUUGGAGAGGGCAACUUUGGGGCCGUUCCUUGUCUAUGUUCCUUGGAACAGGACGUCAUAGAGGGUGAGAAUCCCGUGUGGCGAGGAGUGCGGUUCUUUGUAAAGUGCCUUCGAAGAGUCGAGUUGUUUGGGAAUGCAGCUUUAAGUGGGUGGUAAAUUCCAUCUAAAGCUAAAUAUUGGCGAGAGACCGUUAGCGACCAAGUACAGUGAUGGAAAGAUGAAAAGAACUUUGAAAAGAGAGUGAAAAAGUACGUGAAAUUGUUGAAAGGGAAGGGCAUUUGAUCAGACAUGGUGUUUUGUGCCCUCUGCUCCUUGUGGGUAGGGGAAUCUCGCAUUUCACUGGGCCAGCAUCAGUUUUGGUGGCAGGAUAAAUCCAUAGGAAUGUAGCUUGCCUCGGUAAGUAUUAUAGCCUGUGGGAAUACUGCCAGCUGGGACUGAGGACUGCGACGUAAGUCAAGGAUGCUGCAACGACCUUUGAU